ACUUCAAAAAAAAAAACAUUGUGGUGGGAGUUUUUUUUGCCGUGCUGCUACCUCCAGGAGGAGCAGCGCCACUCACGACCCAGGGCAGUAGAUGGGUACAAGGCCCCAAACAUCGGAUGUGGCAGCUCCCGCAGCUCAGGGGAUUGAGCAGAGGCAUCGACGGCACCCGCGGCCCCAAGAAGCAGAGGCGGCGACAGGCACGAAGACGUACAGAUGGGGCUCGAGGGAUGCCCUAGCCCCUAUCCCAUGCCUCCACCGUUCCCCCAUCGCUAGCUCGGUAAACUUUUUCACAGUGAGCUCCUCUUGUCCCUAGCAGAUUUCUGGCUCUUCUACCAGUCAGCAAGAAACGAGCUCGAAUCCGGCAGCAACCAUGAGGGUGUCAAUACGGGCCACGACGUUCUUAAUCUAGGAGGGGAUGCUGUUAAUUUUUGGAAGGCAAGCUCAAUUUUGAAUACAUUUUAAUGUGGAAAACAUCUAUUUUGUGGGGAAGAUGGAUCAAUGGUGGUCUCAUGUUUCCUAUUUUGAGAUUAGUCCCUCUGAAUCUGACCAUAUAUGCUUUAUUUAGAUACCGAUUGCAUGAUUUCAGGCAUCCAAUUACAUAGAUUUGUUUGUGUGCGUGUAAGGCUGGUUGUAGUGUGCUAAUUUCCUUUGGUGAUCCUGCAAUUCAAUUUGGAUUGCGUUGGUAAUCAACAGGGAGAGUUGAUGGUCUAGCAUAACUGCAUAACAGGGAGAGUUGAUGGUCUAGCAUUUCCGUUUCUGUGAGUAAUCCUUCAUAAUCUGACCAUCUCAGAUUCAAAUAUUGAUCGCAUGAAUUCAGGUUUCCGAUUUGUGGCUGUUUUGUGGUUAUUGAAUUGGCAACUUUUGAUUGUUUAGCGGUGAUUGAAUUGAUAAUUUGUGGCUAUUUUGUGCUCAUUGGAUUGAUCUCCUAGAAGUUGGGGAAGUCCUUGUUGAAUUAUCUCCUAAGAACACAGAGUCUAUUAUUGUGUAAAAAAUGGACAUGGUGUUGAUAUCAUGUGAAGUUGAAUUAUAUAUUUGGUGGUAGAGUUGUGUUGGAAUUCAUUUACUUUAGCCAAAAGCGUGCUGUAGCCCUCAGACAUUACAUGUUUACAUUGUUGUAACUAAAUUGUAGAAAUCCACAGCUAUGUUAUGUGUCACUUCCACCAAUAAUAGGUCUGAAGACUUGAUGGUACAGAGUUAAUAGUAUACUUUUACGAUUCAUAUGUUGUAGUUUCUUUGUGGCAAAGGUUUGUUAAAUUUUUUGUGAAACUAUUUCAGAAAUUUAAGUGGAAUCUUGAGCAGGGAAUUGACAUGGAGCACUAAGGAUGUUAACCUUGAAUGCUUUCUUUUUAUGACAGCCAGUUUUAGCUAUACUAAAGAAACUGUUAAUUCCUUUUCUUAAUGGUGCACUUCUCUUAGUGAAAAGAGGGUUGAUCGAAGUGAAAUAUUGGCAUUGGAUAGCAUCAGGCAGUAAGUCGAGUCCUAUCAAAACAACAUCAUUUUUUUUAGAGUAGAACUCUUGCCGUGCUAAGUAUCUCUAAUUGCAGCCAAAUUGGCCUAUAAAAUUGAAAAGGAAAUGAUGUAGUGUUCCUAUUUAUUGGGUUAUAUGCCUUUUAUUUAAUUGUCCCAUCAUCUAGGCGUUUUCCAAGCUGUUUUUUGCAGUAAAUACAUUGCCAUUCUAUGAUCCUUGUUCAGUCUUGAAUCUUGUGAACAAAUUGGUGCUUAAUGUCUGGUCCGAUAGUUUAAAAAACUGGUGCUUGAUGUCUGAUCUAAUUUUUUAUCAAUUGGGUCUUGAUGUCUGCAGAUGUGACACCUAUUGAUAUCUAUAAACAUUGACAAGGACGUUGAGAUUUUGAUACAUCUCCGUGCAAUUUUCAGGUCGUAUCUACUUCGGACUGCAUCAGAGUAUCAAGAGAGAGAGUGAAAUGUGUGUCGGCACAUGUUUGGUAGCAUAUUAGAAAUAUGUGAUAGAACAAUCUUGCGACAGUUCGUCAUGUACAAAAUCACAAGCAAAGCAUAUGAACAAAUUAAUUUUUUUUGAACUGUAAUAUGAACAAAUUAAUCAUGCCUAUAUCUUUUUAGUGAUUGGACAAUUUUUUAAUCUUCUCCUAUUGACGCUUGUGAAAUAUGAUGUGUAUAACACAUUUAGCUAUGCCGCUAUCUUGAUAAGGACAGAUCAUAGGCAAGGAUAUAAAAUAGAAUUUAUUGUAUA